rnacentral:tRNA from 1 species
GCCGAGGUGGUGGAAUUGGUAGACACGCUGUCUUGAGGGGGCAGUGGGCGUGCGCCUGUGUGGGUUCAAAUCCCGCCCUCGGCACCA